AGCGAACGCUGGCGGCAGGCCUAACACAUGCAAGUCGAACGAACCUUUCGGGGUUAGUGGCGGACGGGUGAGUAACACGUGGGAACGUGCCUUUAGGUUCGGAAUAACUCAGGGAAACUUGUGCUAAUACCGAAUGUGCCCUUCGGGGGAAAGAUUUAUCGCCUUUAGAGCGGCCCGCGUCUGAUUAGCUAGUUGGUUGAGGUAAUGGCUCACCAAGGCGACGAUCAGUAGCUGGUCUGAGAGGAUGAUCAGCCACAUUGGGACUGAGACACGGCCCAAACUCCUACGGGAGGCAACAGUGGGGAAUCUUGCGCAAUGGGCGAAAGCCUGACGCAGCCAUGCCGCGUGAAUGAUGAAGGUCUUAGGAUUGUAAAAUUCUUUCACCGGGGACGAUAAUGACGGUACCCGGAGAAGAAGCCCCGGCUAACUUC
rnacentral:rRNA from 1 species